GAAAGGCCAAUCAAACCGGGAGAUAGCUGGUUCUCCCCGAAAGCUAUUUAGGUAGCGCCUCGUGAAUUCAUCUCCGGGGGUAGAGCACUGUUUCGGCAAGGGGGUCAUCCCGACUUACCAACCCGAUGCAAACUGCGAAUACCGGAGAAUGUUAUCACGGGAGACACACGGCGGGUGCUAACGUCCGUCGUGAAGAGGGAAACAACCCAGACCGCCAGCUAAGGUCCCAAAGUCAUGGUUAAGUGGGAAACGAUGUGGGAAGGCCCAGACAGCCAGGAUGUUGGCUUAGAAGCAGUCAUCAUUUAAAGAAAGCGUAAUAGCUCACUGGUCGAGUCGGCCUGCGCGGAAGAUGUAACGGGGCUAAACCAUGCACCGAAGCUGCGGCAGCGACGCU
rnacentral:rRNA from 1 species